UUUCUCCGUUUCUCAAGAAAAAAACUAUGCUUUCUCCAACCCCACUCUCUCUUUUGUUUGCUUUGCUGCUCUGCUUACCCUUAGCUAUACUAUUCACCAUCCCCAGGACCACCACCACCACCAUCGCCGGCUACCUUCAAAACCCAGUUGAUGUUUUUAUUAGAAAAUCCGAUUCUACCAAGACCCACAAAAAGCUCAAAAUCAAGAACGUCAAUUCACUUCCACCACCACCGCCACCAGAAGAUGACGAAUCACUUCUCCGAGUUGCCGCCCGAGUCAAUCCCAGGCCCAUUCAUCCGAAGAAAAUGGCAUUCAUGUUUCUCACUACCUCACCUCUUCACUUUGCUCCACUCUGGGAACUUUACUUCAACCAAACUCCUAAACAACUCUUUAAUAUUUAUAUACAUGCGGACCCGAGUUUUAACUAUCAACCGCCGUUUUCAGGUGUAUUCGCUCACCGAGUUAUCCACUCCAAACUGACUCAGCGCUUCACUCCUACUCUCACCUCGGCGGCGCGUCGUUUGCUUGCACAUGCGCUCCUCGACGAUCCUUCUAAUUCCAUGUUCGCCCUUCUCUCCGCAUCUUGCAUACCGUUACACUCUUUCAAUUUCACGUACGAGAUCUUAACUCGCUCAAAGAGGAGCUUCAUCGAGAUACUAAAAGAAGAGAUUUUCACAUAUGACAGAUGGUCGGCGCGUGGCGAGGAAGCAAUGCUCCCGGAGGUGAAGCUAGAAGAUUUUCGGAUUGGGUCGCAGUUUUGGGUACUGACACGUAAGCAUGCGAGGUUGGUUGUGGGUGACCAGAGGAUUUGGGCAAAAUUCAAUCGAACGUGCGUGAGGAUGGACACGUGUUAUCCAGAGGAAAAUUACUUUCCUACCCUUAUCAACAUGAGGGACCCAUUAGGAGCCACGUCGGCAACGUUGACUCACGUGGACUGGAGGGGUUGCCUCGAAGGUCACCCUCGGAUGUACGAGGCGAGUGAGGUAGGACCAGAUUUGAUCAGGGAGUUGAGAAACAGCAGGCCUAGAUACGGCUAUGAUGGAAUCAACGGCACAGAUUUGGUUGUGAAGCGACGAAAGGACCCAUUCUUGUUCGCUAGAAAAUUCUCUCCGGAGUCACUACAACCGUUGAUGAGUAUAGCGAAGGAAGCGAUCUUAAAAGAAUAGGAAUGACAUGAUGAAUGGCAUUGUCGUAAAUUAGAAAGGUUUCUAGGGGCAAAUGUAUAGAAGAUGGAAACUGUAAGAAAAGAUAAAUGAUAAAUCAAGCGUUGUGUUGUUAUUUUUUAAGAUUUAAAUUGCGCUUUACGUGAGGAAAAUUUUCAUACAAAAGCAUGAAAAUGAAAGG
rnacentral:misc_RNA from 1 species